GGGAGUAUAGCUCAGUGACACAGCAUAUGCUUAGGAUGCAUGAGACCCUGGGUUAAAUCCCCAGUAUCCUCC
rnacentral:tRNA from 1 species